GCAGGCUCCCUCCCGGGGGAGCGCUACCGGUCUCCAACCGAAGGCCCAACCCGGCGCGGCGUGCUACGGCGCGGGCGCAGGCAGCGCGGCGGACGGACGGACGGACGGACGGCGGCCCAGGGCGGCAGGGCCCCGAGGUGCCGCCGUGCGUGGCGGGGCGGAUGGAGCUGGUAGCGGGCUGCUACGAGCAGGUCCUCUUCGGGUUCGCCGCGCGGCCCGCUGAGUCCUGGACGGUUGUCCCUGUUUUUACCCAUCAUGCCCACUCUGCCUCAUUGUCAGCGGUAGCAGUGAAUAACAGAUACGUGGUCACUGGGAGCAGAGAUGAGACAAUCCAAAUCUUUGACAUGAAAAAGAAGAUAGAACAUGGGGCACUGCUGCAGCACAAUGGCACAAUAACUUGUUUGGAGUUCUAUGGUACUGCGCAUCUACUGAGUGGGGCUGAAGAUGGACUAAUUUGUAUCUGGAACACAAAGAGAUGGGAAUGUCUGAAAUCUAUUAAGGCACAUAAGGGGCACGUGACAUCUCUUUCUAUUCAUCCUUCUGGGAAGUUAGCUUUGUCGGUAGGAACAGAUAAAACAUUAAGAACUUGGAAUCUUGUAGAAGGACGAUCAGCCUUUAUCAAAAACCUGAAGCAAAAUGCCCACAUAAUUAAAUGGUCCCCUGAUGGAGAGAGGUAUGUGACCGUGAUAACAAAUAAAGUGGAUAUCUACAAACUUGACACAGCUUCAAUCACUGGCACUAUCACAACAGAGAAGAGGAUUUCCUCACUUAGAUUUAUUACAGAUUCUAUCCUUGCCAUAGCUGGAGAUGAUGAAAUUAUAAGGUUCUACAGCUGUGACUCUCAAAAAUGCCUGUGUGAAUUUAAAGCUCAUGAAAACAGAAUAAAAGAUAUCUAUAGUUUUGAAAGAGAAGGACAACAUGUUAUUGUUACUGCAUCCAGUGAUGGUUACAUUAAAAUGUGGAAUCUGGAUCUUAAUAAGAUUAAAGAUGUGCCGUCUUUACUGUGUGAAGUCAAUACGAAAGCUAGGCUGACAUGUCUCGCAGUAUGGCUUGACCAAGCUUCAGAAAUGAAAGAAAAUUCUGAUAAAGCUGCAACAUUAUCUCAAGCAAAUGAAGAUGAAAAAUCAUCAAUAGUCAGGAAAAACAAAGUUCGUAGGACUGAUAAAAGUGAUAAAACAGCCAAAAAAAAGAGAGAAAUUACUCCAGAGAAGCAAAAAUUGGAAGCUCCACUGCAAAAGAAGAAAAAGAAACAGAAUAGCUCAUCGUGAAGGCAGCUACUUUCUCCCCUGAAUAAAAACAAAAGAAAAGCUAGAGAAAAUCAGAAAAAAGAUUGAAGCAAAUCUGGAGACAGGAAUGCAGGCUGUCUUAGGGAUGUAAAAUAGGGUAUCACUUCAGCUCAUCUCUCUGUAUGCUCUGACACUGAGACAAAGUGAGCAUCAUCAGUGCUGUUACGAGAUUGUUCAUGUGGCAAUGGCAGUAUUCUCUUGGAGCACAUUUUCCAUUCCAGUUUUCAGGGAACUGCUUAGAAUGAUAGAGGGGAGGCAGCAGUGCAGAGAGGGAGGAUAUGUCAGCGGUGAGAAAGCUCUUCCUGUGUCAGAAAGGGUGAGUGUGUGUGACACCGGUAGAGUAGAUGGAGCCAUGGCUGCAAGAAACAACAGCCUAGUGAGCAGCAUCCCAGCCGAGCCCCAGGUGAGUUCAGCAGCUCCUGCAGCUGUGGAUUUCUUCCAGUUUUCCUGCUUCCCCUCUUGGGGAACCCCAGUGCUGGAUUACAAAGCAGAGGCCAGUGAAACUUGAACCUCAUAGCCAUUACACAGCUUGAACAGAAAAGGGAACCCCAUCCAGUAUAGCUUAGAUCUGUGUUGGUUGUGGUACUUUACAUGGAGAUGGGAGAUCUCUAUUUAAACCACUUAGGCCCACAAGGGAAUUAAACUGCUCUCCACUUUCUGACCAUUAGGCUAAUUCAUAGAGAUGGGAAUAUUUGAAAUGCAGCUAGAGAAAGCUGCAUUUUGCAGAAAGCGCAGACCUCUGAUGUUUUGUGCCUUCUGUUAUGAAGAGGAACUGAAGCCCCUCAGGGACCUGGCUGGAGGAGUGCUUGUUCUUUCUGUAUGAUUAAAUGUCCGUGGGAGGUAAGUGCAUAGACAACUGGAACAAAUCAUGCAGCACCAUUUAUGUGAAGAAAAACAGUUUCAGCACUUGAAAAGAGUUUACCUUUGUAGACAGUUAUAAGCAUCUCUCCACAUUUUUUCGAUUAACAAAAAUGCAAAACAUUUUCUUUACAAGAUGUUUUCCAUCUCCCACUGUGGUGUAACUUCUACAGCAGAAGACUCCUGUUUCUGUUGCACUAGCUGUGCUUGUAAUUUGAAGAUUAUAGAAAUCCUCUACAUCUUCCAUAAAAGGGCUAUACUGAAAUUACUGAUCAAAGCUAGAAGCAGCCUGUAGGCUGCCCAGAGUUGUAGCUCAUGCCACAACAACCAACCACCCCAAAUUCUCAGCUGUACCACAUACCCCCACUUCUGCAACACGACGAGGAUGGAUUGGGUGCACACGAAUGCAGUUGUGAGUGAGCUUUGCCCCUCACUGAACAAGCACGCAAAACCUCGUCUGCACUGAAGUCUCCCCUCAUUUGUAGGCACCCGGGCUUGCUCGGGCAUCCUCGAUACCCCCCGCCAGGGCCCGGGGGAGUUACCGGCAGCUCUGGAGGUAGCUGGGAAGGCACCAACCCGGUUUUUUUUUUUUUUUGUUUGUUUUUUUCCGGGACGCACCCUA